rnacentral:tRNA from 1 species
GGCGUUGUGGCUCAAGUGGUAGAGCACUUGCUUUGCAAGCCUGAGGCCCUGGGUUCGAUUCCUCAGUACCA